rnacentral:rRNA from 1 species
UACGUAGGGUGCAAGCGUUAAUCGGAAUUACUGGGCGUAAAGCGUGCGCAGGCGGUUUUGUAAGUCUGUCGUGAAAUCCCCGGGCUUAACCUGGGAAUUGCGAUGGAGACUGCAAGGCUAGAAUCUGGCAGAGGGGGGGUAGAAUUCCACGUGUAGCAGUGAAAUGCGUAGAGAUGUGGAGGAACACCGAUGGCGAAGGCAGCCCCCCUGGGUCAAGAUUGACGCUCAUGCACGAAAGCGUGGGGAGCAAACAGG